CAGUCGUACCGACGGAAAAUCAGCUCUUCGAGUGCGGACUUGUGGGUUUACGUGAGCUUUACGGCCUCGUUGUUUGCAAUGUUCGUUCUUUUUGGGUGUACUUUUUCGUAUGGUUGGCCAAUAUCAGUUUCGAUCGCUAUAAAAUGACCGGCGGAAUGUAGCUUCGAUCUCGUAUUGAAGUGUUAUAGCCUCUGGUAGAUGUGGUGAUUGGGACUGAGGAUUGCAACGAAUACCUUUUUGGGCUAUCCGUCUGAUCUCUGAAAGUUGCUUAGGUGCCGAAAGCGUGCUUACGGUUAUUUAAGUUGACGGUCAAAAGGUUAGAACGUGAUUAAA
rnacentral:rRNA from 1 species